CCUACGGGGGGCUGCAGUGAGGAAUAUUGGUCAAUGGACGAGAGUCUGAACCAGCCAAGUAGCGUGAAGGAUGACUGCCCUAUGGGUUGUAAACUUCUUUUAUAUGGGAAUAAAAUGUUCCACGUGUGGGAUUUUGUAUGUACCAUAUGAAUAAGGAUCGGCUAACUCCGUGCCAGCAGCCGCGGUAAUACGGAGGAUCCGAGCGUUAUCCGGAUUUAUUGGGUUUAAAGGGAGCGUAGGUGGAUUGUUAAGUCAGUUGUGAAAGUUUGCGGCUCAACCGUAAAAUUGCAGUUGAAACUGGCAGUCUUGAGUACAGUAGAGGUGGGCGGAAUUCGGGGUGUAGCGGUGAAAUGCGUAGAUAUCACGAAGAACUCCGAUUGCGAAGGCAGUUCACUGGACUGCAACUGACACUGAGGCUCGAAAGUGUGGGUAUCAAACAGGAUUAGAUACCCUAGUAGUC
rnacentral:rRNA from 1 species